AGUGCCGGCCGCUUGCGCCCGGUCACGGGGACUCGACGUCACAAAGAGCGGAGUAAACAGGGCGCGCGGUGCUCGCCGGCGGGCCCAUUCAUAAAACCGAGGGCGAGAGGAAGAGGGAGGCGGCCUCCGCCCGGCAGGCGGGCUGCAGCGCCCGGACUUUGUGAAUGGAGCGGGCGGCGCCUCCCCGGCCUCCGCGGCUCGUGGCCCGCCCGGCGCGCGUGGCCGAGCCGCCCCUCCACCCGGCUGCGGCGUUCGGCGUUCAGAAAGUCGCCAGCCGAGAAGCCGGCCUCGAGGAGCCAGCGCUCGGUUGGGAGGUUUCACCCCUUUUUACCUCCGUGCUCCCCCGCUGACAGCCUCGCAGGUCUGCGCCGGGGCCCGAAGCGGAGAGGAGAACCGGGCACCGCUCAGCAGCCGGCGGGCCGGGGACCUCCUCGCCCCGGGCUCCCCGAGCGCGUUCGGCGCGGCCAGUCUUUUUUCAAAUGCAAUUCCUCAGACUUCAGCUUAUGCAUUAGCGUGAUCGAUUUUCACCUUAAGCCAUUAAAUCAGCUUUAUAGCUUCCCGAGGAACGUGGGCAAGCCCCAACUUAGAAGAUGAAAGAGCAAGCCCUCCCGCCCCGAAGCCCGGGAAGAGGAGCGAGGUGACCAGGGACCCUUGCUCAAGGCCCAUCUGUAUGCCCCUGCCUUGAGUCUGAGCUGUGUCCUCUCCAGACCUGGUUUUCAGUUGAUGCAGUGAAAACCGACACAAGCUUUGGAGCCAGACAAAGGUACAACGGGCAAAACUCCAGGAACCUGGGAAAGCGCAGGGCUGGUCGCGGGUCGUCAGGCCGGGCUGCUCCGUUGGCUCAGCUGUUAAUACAGUCUGGCGGCUGGAAGUCCAAGGUCAAGGUGCCAGCAGGUCCAGUGUCUGGUGAGGAGCUGCUUCCUGGUUCACAGAUGGCCAUCUUCUCAUCGUAACCUCACAUGGCAGAGGAGCAGCGGAGCUCUCUGCGGUCGCUUUUAUAAGGGCAUGAAUCCCAUUCUUGAGGGCUCCACCCACAUGACCUCAUCUCCUCUCAAAGGCCCCACCUUCCGAUACCAUGCCAUGGGGGGUUAGGGUUUCAACAUAGGAAUUUUGAGGGAACACAAACAUUCAGUCUAAGGCAAGCUACUUGCUUCUAUACUGGGUUUUGCUUAUUUUCUGUAGCAGAAUUAAAUAAUCUUAGAUAUUGC
rnacentral:lncRNA from 1 species